GCGGAGGAAAAGAAACCAACAGGGAUUGCCCUAGUAACGGCGAGUGAAGCGGCAACAGCUCAAAUUUGAAAUCUGGCUUCGGCCCGAGUUGUAAUUUGCAGAGGAAGCUUUAGGCGCGGCACCUCCUGAGUCCCCUGGAACGGGGCGCCACAGAGGGUGAGAGCCCCGUAUAGUUGGAUGCCUAGCCUGUGUAAAGCUCCUUCGACGAGUCGAGUAGUUUGGGAAUGCUGCUCAAAAUGGGAGGUAAAUUUCUUCUAAAGCUAAAUACCGGCCAGAGACCGAUAGCGCACAAGUAGAGUGAUCGAAAGAUGAAAAGCACUUUGAAAAGAGGGUUAAAUAGCACGUGAAAUUGUUGAAAGGGAAGCGCUUGUGACCAGACUUGCGCCGGGCUGAUCAUCCGGUGUUCUCACCGGUGCACUCUGCCCGGCUCAGGCCAGCAUCGGUUCUCGCGGGGGGAUAAAGGCCCUGGGAACGUAGCUCCUCCGGGAGUGUUAUAGCCCGGGGCGCAAUGCCCUCGCGGGGACCGAGGUUCGCGCUCUGCAAGGAUGCUGGCGUAAUGGUCAUCAGCGACCCGUCUUGAAACACGGACCAAGGAGUCAAGGUUUUGCGCGAGUGUUUGGGUGUAAAACCCGCACGCGUAAUGAAAGUGAACGUAGGUGAGAGCUUCGGCGCAUCAUCGACCGAUCCUGAUGUUCUCGGAUGGAUUUGAGUAGGAGCGUUAAGCCUUGGACCCGAAAGAUGGUGAACUAUGCUUGGAUAGGGUGAAGCCAGAGGAAACUCUGGUGGAGGCUCGCAGCGGUUCUGACGUGCAAAUCGAUCGUCAAAUCUGAGCAUGGGGGCGAAAGACUAAUCGAACCAUCUAGUAGCUGGUUACCGCCGA
rnacentral:rRNA from 1 species